rnacentral:rRNA from 2 species
CUGGGAAUUUUGCGCAAUGGCCGAAAGGCUGACGCAGCGACGCCGCGUGGGUGAGGAAGGUCUUCGGAUUGUAAAGCCCUUUCAGCAGGGACGAAAAAAAUGACGGUACCUGCAGAAGAAGCACCGGCUAACUCCGUGCCAGCAGCCGCGGUAAUACGGAGGGUGCAAGCGUUAUUCGGAUUUACUGGGCGUAAAGCGCGCGUAGGCGGUUCGUUAAGUCCGGUGUGAAAGCCCCCGACCUAAUCGGGGAAGUGCAUUGGAAACUGGCGGGCUAGAGUACAGGAGAGGAGAAUGGAAUUCCCGGUGUAGAGGUGAAAUUCGUAGAUAUCGGGAGGAACAACAGAGGCGAAGGCGAUUCUCUGGACUGUUACUGACGCUGAGGCGCGAAAGCGUGGGGAGCAAACAGG